rnacentral:lncRNA from 1 species
CUAAUUCUUAUGAAGACAAUACUGCAUGACAAGUAAGGACACUUACACCCUUGCCCAUUACAUCGAGAUCCAUAUGAGGAGUCAUUAAUAAAACAAUACAUCUUCCAAUCAUAUUCAAAAAUAUAUCUUCUAAAAUUUUUAUGACUUAGCUAAUGCCCUGAGGGCUCUAUCACAUAAAGACAUUUGUGUGGCAAGGGAUUAGCCCAACUCGAUCUCUUCCUUCCCUAACACACUUCUUACACUAUAUUCCCAUCCUAAACCAAUGGGUGGUUUGGGUGUCAAUGAUCUCCUUGCCUAGGACAAAAGCUUGCAUUUUGUGCAACAUUUGGAUGUUGCUUACAUGGGCACGGAUUGAGGCUUAUAUACUAAAUAGCAGGAACAAUAAUGAAGCUACAUGUCUAACAAAGAUGUAGCUAGAGUUGAAAAAGGUUGCUAGAGCUUAAGAAGUGUUGCUGCCUCAUCUAUACAACAGCAAGGAGAUGAAUUGGUAUGGAAGUGACUUGGGAUGCUUACAUAUAUUUAUUAUGCUAGAAUUUUGAUUUCUCCAAUGUCUUGUGCCUAAUUUCGUUCUAGUUGAAGAAAUUUGAUUGGUCAAAAGCAAUGGAGAAAAAGAAAGGAGAGAGAAACAAAAAAAUGGGAAAAUUAGAAUUGUAAUAGCCCAAUUUUACCUGGGCUUUUAAUAAAAUUUAUCAGUCUAAGUUUUUUAAAAAACGGGCCCAAACCCUAACCCAAAAAAUAGAAGGCCCAUGGCCCAAAACUUAAACAAAAUUUUCGGAUUGGAAAACCCUAGCCCCUAGCCUUUGCGCCACGAAGCUCCUCACGUGGUGUCAGCACCUUCUCCACUGCAAUGCUGCCACAGACCUGCAAACAAGCGAAAACAGACACAAAGAAGACCAAAGAAGCAGCAAAAGCAAACAAGGCAUAAAUAUAUUAUAUUUUCUAGCUAUAUAAGCCGAGAACACCAAUGUAAAAGGGGGGGAUAAAAAAAUCAAUAAAAAAGCUUGAAUAGAAAAAUAGAAAACAGUUUUCAGAAAGUGAUUUCUAUUGCUUUGAUCUAUUUCAUCUAUUUUCUUUUGUUUUGAUGCUUUUAUUUUUUAUUUCUUAUAUAUAUAUAUACAAAAAUAAAAGAAGAAAAAGAAGGAGAAGAAGUUUACCUUUUUAUUCGCUUGAAAGUGGAGGUUUUUUGGCUCUCCGACAGCUGUAUACUGUGGCGCCGACAGCGGCGCGUGCGGUGGCAGAUUAUACCGGAGCAAGGCCAAAAAUCGCCUAGGUGGAGCAAAGGAGGAGAGUUUUUUUUGUGUGUGUAUGUGUUUUUUUUUUUUUC